rnacentral:rRNA from 1 species
CCCCUAGACGUUCUGGGCUGCACGCGCGCUACACUGAUGCAUUCAACGAGUUUCUUCCUGGUCCGAGAGGAAUGGGUAACCUUUUGAAAGUGCAUCGUGAUAGGGAUAGACUAUUGCAAUUAUUGGUCUUCAACGAGGAAUUCCUAGUAGACGUAGUUCAUCAGACUGCAUCGAUUACGUCCCUGCCCUUUGUACACACCGCCCGUCGCUCCUACCGAUUGAAUGCUCAGGUGAGCCAUUCGGACUUUCAUCAUGCUGGUUUCCAGUUUUGAUGAAGGAAAGUCUUGCGAACCUUAUCAUUUAGAGGAAGGAGAAGUCGUAACA